CCUACGGGAGGCAGCAGUGGGGAAUAUUGGACAAUGGGGGGAACCCUGAUCCAGCCAUGCCGCGUGUGUGAAGAAGGCCCUCGGGUUGUAAAGCACUUUCAGUGAGGAAGAACGCCUGGUGGUUAAUACCCAUCAGGAAAGACAUCACUCACAGAAGAAGCACCGGCUAACUCCGUGCCAGCAGCCGCGGUAAUACGGAGGGUGCGAGCGUUAAUCGGAAUUACUGGGCGUAAAGCGCGCGUAGGUGGCUUGAUAAGCCGGUUGUGAAAGCCCCGGGCUCAACCUGGGAACGGCAUCCGGAACUGUCAAGCUAGAGUGCAGGAGAGGAAGGUAGAAUCCCCGGUGUAGCGGUGAAAUGCGUAGAGAUCGGGAGGAAUACCAGUGGCGAAGGCGGCCUUCUGGACUGACACUGACACUGAGGUGCGAAAGCGUGGGUAGCAAACAGGAUUAGAUACCCGGGUAGUC
rnacentral:rRNA from 1 species